UCCAUAGGAAAAGGUAGGACACGACCAGGGUCGGUCCUCUCGCUCUCCGCUCUCUCCCACGCGAUGCCGGCUGCCGCCGCUGCCCAUGCGAUGUCGCCGCCCCUGCCCACGCGAUGUCGCCGCCCCUGCCCACGCGACGCCGGCCUCCGCCGUUCCUGCCCACGCGACGCCGGCCGCCGCCGCUGCCCACGCGACGCCGGCCUCCGCCGCUCCUGCCCACGCGACGCCGGCCUCCGCCGCUCCUGCCCACGCGACGCCGGCCUCCGCCGCGCGUCCCGAUCUCUCCGUUCGUGAUGCAAUGGAGGGGAAGAAGAAGGUCAGCACACGGAUUUCUUCCCCCAAUUUGCUUGGUCAUCAGCGCAUCAAGGAUUCCAUCAUCUUCAUCCGCCUGCUGCAACCAAGGGCCCACCUGGCAGUGUCCACUGUCCAAUGAUGCUUGGCUCGCGAGCCAGCCCGAGCCAGCCCGAGUUUUGCAGCGAGCUAAAGACUGGUCCGCACCGAGCCCAGCUCGAGCUGGCUCGUGUCCAGCCUUAGGUAUAGGGUAUAUAGGUAUAGGUAUGAAAACUUAUAAUUUUGAAAAUUGUUCCUAUACAAAAUGAGUUACCAUGAAUUGAAGAUGGUUCCUAAAGUUGGUCUUUUGAAUAUAAUUUUAACCUGAUUCUAUACAUGGUCACCACAGCCGGUUUCACGUAGAACUCCGAAAAAAAAGAUAUAUAUGAAAAUAUAAUUUGGACAAGUGUCAAUCUCCAGCGGCCAAUCGGCGAUGUGCUCAAGGCGACUGAGCACGCUCAACCGGGGGUGAAUGCCAUCCCCACCGUCAUUGGUCGAUUUGAUUCCGACUGAACUUGAGCGACCCAAUUGAGUCGGCGAGUUGCUUCUAACAGGGCCAAGCCGAAGGUGUUGAAGAAGAUCGCACCCACGCGGGGGGCAGUGGCAACAAAGGUGGCCGAGGCCAAAAAGGCUGCUGACGCUGAGCUGGCCGAAGCAGCCAAGGCGAAGGAGGACGCUGAAUUGGCGAGGGAGGCCAAAGCUAAGGCGAAAGAGGCCGCCGACGCAGAGUCGGCGAGGGCAGCGGCAGCCAAGGCCAGGGCCAGGGCGAAGGAAGCCACGGAGGCCGAGGCGACAAAGGAGGCCGUGGAGGCCGAUGCGGAGAAGGCUGUCGAGGCAAGGAGAAGAAGGCCGCGGAGCUAGAAGUGUCGAGGACGGCUGCGGCAGAGCAGGAGCGUCUGGCCGCCAAGGGCGCGAAGUCCGGUGCUGCAGCUCUGGAGCAGAGCCGCACAUGGAGAGGCGAUUGAAAUUUGCUGCCGACCCCGCGCUUGCCAAGGAGCCGACUUCGUCGGUGCUAGGCGCAGCCGAAGGAGCGCAGAAGAACGCGCCGACCGACGCGGUUGUCCGCACCACUUGUUCGGAGGAGCUGUUUCGUAGGGCGACGACACACCCGCUACCGUCGCUCACCUGCACAAGGCUCUCGGCGAUCUCCACGUGCAAGAGAUGAGCGAGCUCGGCGCUGAGCUCCGGCGAGUGACCUCCGUGGCCGCGAAGCCAGCGAAUAAGCAUCAACAUAGCGGAGAGCAAGAAGAUGCUGGCGCAGACCCGAGUUGGCUAUGUGUUGAAGGCGGAGGUCGCCGCCCGCCUGAAGGAUCCUAACGAGCGAGAAGUUGCUGCUGAAAAGGCAGCGAAGCACGUUUAGUCGGAUGUGGACGAGCUCACGGAGGUCUUGAACAACAAGGCUAAGGAGCUGGUGGAUAUGAUGGACGCCCACAAGGAAGCGCUUGGGGAAGCGUCAAUGGCGAAGGCUGACACACUCGCAGCCGCCGCUACUACGCAUGAGAAGUAGCUGGAGGCUCUGAGGAAGGCUCACGCGACUGCGCUCGAGCUAGAGCGAGAAUCUUCAAGCAGUACCAUCCUGGCGUUGCAGCAAGAGAAGACCACUUUCGAGACCUUCGUCUGCAAGAUGUCUCGGCAGCUUAUUGAUGGCGACUUCCAGGGAGUUCUUGUAGACUGCGACGAUCCGCGUCACCGAAUGCGCGGCGGAUAUUUUGGCGGUGUUGCAGUACCUGAGCCCGCGGGAGCGCAUUCCGCACGACGACUAGUCGGUCUUCUGGGUUGUCUCCAACGUUCCCGUUGUGGUGGAUUGGCUCCGGCGGUCAGCCUGCCGGGUCGACAUCACCAUAGAGUUUAGCAUGGUACUCGUCCACUACCCUCCACCGGUGGAAAAAGGGGCUUUGGUCGCGGUUCGCAACUGCCAUUAGUCGCGGUUGCGCAACCGCGAUCAAAGUAGCGCGACUAAAGGCCCCCCCUUUAGUCGCGGUUCCUCACGAACCGCGACUAAAGGCCCGUCCACGUGGGC